rnacentral:misc_RNA from 1 species
GGGGAGUAUUCGACGGAUGUAUUUCCGGUCACGAUAUGGGGAUUCAACAGAGACCGUACCACCGGAACUGUAGCUGUAAACUACAUAAAUCUCGUGGAAAUUGCUCUCAUUCUUCUCGUUGUACCAACGUAUCUUACCCAAUUCGAAGAUCCUGGAGCGAAAGCUGUUUAUCGUUGGCCGCCGGCGCUUACGCCGGUGCCUCCGGUCAUUCAUCGACGUGCUCUUCUCCGGCUUCCGGCGUCGGCGGGUCGGAUCUCACCGGAAAGAAGAACUUGGUUCGUUC